rnacentral:rRNA from 1 species
GUCGAACGAGAAAUCUUUAGCUUGCUAGAGAAAGUAAAGUGGCGCACGGGUGAGUAACGCGUGGGUAAUCUGCCUCCGAAUCGGGGAUAACAUUGCGAAAGCGAUGCUAAUACCGGAUAAAAUCUGGUUGGCUUAGGUGAACCGGAUCAAAGGUGGUCUCUUUAUAAAAGCUACCGUUUGGAGAUGAGCUCGCGUACCAUUAGCUAGUUGGUGAGGUAAAGGCUCACCAAGGCGACGAUGGUUAGCUGGUCUGAGAGGAUGAUCAGCCACACCGGAACUGGAACACGGUCCGGACUCCUACGGGAGGCAGCAGUGAGGAAUUUUGCGCAAUGGGGGAAACCCUGACGCAGCAACGCCGAGUGAGUGAUGAAGGCUUUCGGGUCGUAAAGCUCUGUAAGGUGGGAAGAACCCACCAAGUGUUCAGACCACUUGGUGCUGACGGUACCACCGAAGGAAGCACCGGCUAACUCCGUGCCAGCAGACGCGGUAAUACGGGGAGUGCGAGCGUUAUUCGGAAUCAUUGGACGUAAAGGGCGCAUAAGCGGAAAAGUAAGUCAGGUGUGAAAUCCCGGGGCUUAACCCCGGAAGUGCAUAUGAAACUAUGAGACUUGAGUAUGGGAGAGGGAAAGCGGAAUUCCUGGUGUACCGGUGAAAUGCGUAGAUAUCAGGAGGAACACCGGUGGCGAAGGCGGCUUCCUGAACCAAUACUGACGCUGAGGCGCGAAGGCGUGGGGAGCGAACAGGAUUAGAUACCCUGGUAGUCCACGCAGUAAACGUUGAUCACUAGGUGUAGCGGGUAUUGACCCCUGCUGUGCCGGAGUUAACGCAUUAAGUGAUCCGCCUGGGGAGUACGAUCGCAAGAUUAGAACUCAAAGGAAUUGACGGGGGCCCGCACAAGCGGUGGAGCAUGUGGUUUAAUUCGACGCAACGCGAAGAACCUUACCUGGACUUGACAUCUCGGGAAUUCCGUUGAAAGACGGGAGUGCCUUUAACGAGGAAUCCGAUGACAGGUGCUGCAUGGCUGUCGUCAGCUCGUGUCGUGAGAUGUUGGGUUAAGUCCCGCAACGAGCGCAACCCCUAUCUUCAGUUACCAUCAGGUGAUGCUGGGGACUUUGGAGAUACUGCCCCGGUUAACGGGGAGGAAGGUGGGGAUGACGUCAAGUCCUCAUGGCCUUUAUGUCCAGGGCUACACACGUGCUACAAUGGUAUGUACAAAGGGAAGCGAUCCCGCGAGGAGGAGCUAAUCCCAAAAAGCAUAUCAAAGUUCGGAUCGGAGUCUGCAACUCGACUCCGUGAAGUUGGAAUCGCUAGUAAUCGCGGAUCAGCAUGCCGCGGUGAUACGUUCCCGGGCCUUGUACACACCGCCCGUCACACCAUGAGAGUUGGCUGUACCAGAAGUCGUUGGGCUAACCCGCAA